UACGUAGGGGCCAAGCGUUGUCCGGAUUUAUUGGGCGUAAAGAGCUCGUAGGCGGUUCGGCAAGUCGAAUGUGAAAUCUCCACGCUCAACGUGGAGGGGUCAUUCGAUACUGCCGUGACUUGAGUACGGUAGGGGGAGUGUGGAAUUCCCGGUGUAGCGGUGAAAUGCGCAGAGAUCGGGAGGAACACCCGUAGCGAAGGCGGCACUCUGGGCCGAUACUGACGCUGAGGAGCGAAAGCGUGGGGAGCGAGUCCGG
rnacentral:rRNA from 1 species